UCUUAUCUAGAGUGGCGGAGGGAAAGGCCCGAUGAAGCCCGGCAACCGAUUUAUCCGAUGUUUGGUACGAUACCGGAAUCGAUAAAUGUCAUGGUGCUAAUUCCUUCAAAGUCUGUUUGCUUAUGGCAGGCAGGGCUUUGGCAGAUGA
rnacentral:ncRNA from 1 species